GGGGUUUUUAAUAUAGAGCGUGCAGCCUGCCCAGUGACAAUGUUCAACGGCCGCGGUACCCUAACCGAGCAAAGGUACCAUAAUCACUUGUUCUUUAAAUGAGGACUUGUAUCAAUGGCAUCACGAGGGUUGUACUGUCUCCUUUUUCUAAUCAGUGAAACUGAUCUCCCCGUGAAGAAGCUGGGAUUUAAAUAUAAGACGAGAAGACCCCAUGGAGCUUUAAAUUGUGUACUUACUCUAUGUAAAAAACACCAAUUAAGCUAAAAAAACUUAAGUACAAUUUUAGGUUGGGGCGACCACGGAGUACAAUAUAACCUCCUUAACAAACAGGCCACACCUUUAUCUACGAGCCACACCUCUAAGAAUUAAUAUAUUAAUGUUUAAUGACCCGAAUAUUCGAUCAAUGAACCAAGUUACCCUGGGGAUAACAGCGCAAUCUAUUUCAAGAGUCCUUAUCGACAAAUAGGUUUACGACCUCGAUGUUGGAUCAGGGUAUCCAAGUGGUGCAGCCGCUACUAACGGUUCGUUUGUUCAACGACUAAAACCCUACGUGAUCUGAGUUCAGACCGG
rnacentral:rRNA from 1 species